rnacentral:rRNA from 1 species
CACGCCGUAAACGAUGAGUACUAAGUGCUGGAGGAUUCAGUGCUGAAGCUAACGUAAUAAGUACUCCGCCUGAGUAGUACGUACGCAAGUAUGAAACUCAAAGGAAUUGACGGGACCCCGCACAAGCGGUGGAUCAUGUUGUUUAAUUCGAGGAUACGCGAAGAACCUUACCAGGCCUUGACAUACCUUGCAAAGCUAUGGAGACAUAGUGGAGGAUAACAGGGAUACAGGUGG